GAUAUGUAAUUAGGACAUUUGAGCAU
rnacentral:piRNA from 1 species